GGCGAUCAGAUACCGCCCUAGUUCUGACCGUAAAUGAUGCCAACUAGCGAUCCGCCGGCGGAUUUCAAACGCCCUGGUGGGGAGCUUCCCGGAAACGAAAGUCUUCCGGUUCCGGGGGAAGUAUGGUUGCAAAGCUGAAACUUAAAGGAAUUGACGGAAGGGCACCACCAGGAGUGGAGCCUGCGGCUUAUAAUUUGACUCAACACGGGAAAACUCACCCGGCCCGGACACCGCGAGGAUUGACAGAUUGAUAGCUCUUUCAUGAUUCGGUGGAUGGUGGUGCAUGGCCGUUCUUACUUCGUGGAGUGAUUUGUCUGGUUUAUUCCGAUAACGAGCGAGACUCUCGCCUACUAACUAGUCCGCACACUGCACCGGCAGCAAUGCCCUGUGUGCUCCCGAAAGGAAGUACUUCUUAGAGGGAUUUUCGGCGUUUCAGCCGCACGAAACUGAGCAAUAACAGGUCUGUGAUGCCCUUAGAUGUCCGGGGCUGCACGCGCGCUACACUGGCGAAAUCAGCGUGCUUGUCCUCUCGCGAAAGCGACUGGUAAACCGGUGAAAAUUCGCCGUGAUUGGGAUCGGAAAUUGCAAUUAUUUUCCGUGAACGAGGAAUACCAAGUAAGUGCGAGUCAUCAACUCGCGUUGAUUACGUCCCUGCCCUUUGUA
rnacentral:rRNA from 1 species